GGUUCGGAGGAUGUCGGACGGACCCGUGAAUAAACUCCGAGUGAAACGACAGAUCAGAACCAUCGUGAAGGAUCUGGAGAACAUUUUAGGAGACCUUAAGGAUGUUGCGAAGGAACUCAAAGAGGUGGUGAAUGAGAUCGACUGUCUCACAUCAGAUCUUCAUCUGGAGGAGAUGACAGACAGCUCAAAGACAGACACUCUGAACAGCAGCUCGAGCAGCACCACGACCACCACCCUGUCCAGCGUCGACAAGAUCAAGAUCUACCCCGAGGAGAUGCUGUUCAGACCAGCAGCGGUCCCGCCGGCGGUCCUGAAGAGACCUCACCCGCCCCUGCCGCCCCCCCGAAUGACCCCAAGCAGACCCGAGGAGCCUAGCGAUGGCCUGUCGUCAAGGACACCGCCCUCGGCUAACGGGAUAGUGAUGCAGAACAGAGUUUUCCCCGUGAAACCCAUUCAUGUGUUGAGCAAAGACUCGUGUUGUGGGGUGAAAAGUGUGACUGCGCCCUCCGCACCUCUACUGAAACACGAGAAGAGCCGCUGUCUCACGAGGGAGCGUGUGCGAUUCAGCGAGAAGGUCCAAUAUCUGGGCUACUGUCCGGACUGUGACCUACAGUGGGAUGUGAACAACAUGGAUUUGCACUUACACACAGAAUUGAUUGAAGGCAAACCGAGUCCCGAACAUCAGUGCUCCUCCUCGCUGCCUGCUCAAGUCCUCGUGGACAACGGCAGCCUCGGUUUCCCCUCGAAGAAACCACACAAGACCAUUUUACGCCACAAAACCACCACCACAACCGUUUGAUGUAGACUGAGUCUAAAUGAACCAUUUAAAAGUUCUCUUUCUAGUUUUGUAUGAUAUGAAGUGCAGCGACUGAAGAAGCUCAUGAAGAGACCGCAGAAGAGGAGGAUGUCCUUCACUGGAGAUGAUGAAGGGUCUGUGGUACAAUCAGCUGGUCAUGUGACAGGAACCCCUGGAGCCCCUCGCAUCAGUCACAAGCCCCCGACAGACUCGACUCACUGAUAAAACAUGGCAGAAGCAGUGACAAUCUGAUUCUCUCAAACAUUAUUGAAAUGAGGAAAAACCCACAAUCCUUCAGAACGGAUGAAACCUUCUGAUCCGUUAAGAACGAUGAUUGAUCUUCAGUCUGUCAUAUAAUGUUGCUGCUCGCCAGAUGAAACCAAAUCAAUCGAAAUAAUGUACAUAAUGUGCACGUUUAUGCACCUGACGUGGUUCAGAUCACGUAUAUCCCGUUCUGAGGACACGUUUGUAAAGAUAUUUUAUGUUUUGUAUUUAAAAGCUUCUAAGAGCAUAUUUUUGAUAUUCUGUGAGAUCAUUUUAAAGACGUCCAUAUUUUUGUCUGGGUUG